rnacentral:lncRNA from 1 species
UUCGUCCGUCCGUCCGUCCGUCAGCCCCUCUGGUCGCAGGUUAAAGUGUCUGAUCUAGGUAGUUUUUCAUGAAGUUGAAGUCCAAUCAACUUGAAACUUUAAUAUAGUACUCAUAUUCCCUUUGAUUUGAUCUUUCUAAUUCGAAUGCCAAAUUAGAAUUGUGACCCCAAUUUCAUGGUCCACUGAGCAUAGAAAAUGAUAGUUGAGUGGGCAUCCAUGUUCUACUGGACACAUUCUUGUGAACAGCUACUAUUCACUUAAAUAUAGAAAUUUAUUUGCUAAUCAGUGUAACAAACUGAGUUGGAUUUGUAUUUGCAAGAACAUAAUACUGAGAGAUUUCUUGACACUUUUUGUUUUGUUUAACAAUGUAUGUUGAAUAUGGGUCCUUUUUCAAACUAUCAUUUUUUAUUUGCAAAAUCUUAUGAAUGUUGCAAAAAUUUUAUCCAGGAGUAUAUUUGCUUUUUUGGUUGAUUCUAUGUGAAUAAAAAUCCAUCACCAAUUUGUAUGUUAGCCUUAAGGCCUUUUAAAUUUCUGAGAAAACCAUAGGUAAUUCUUAUUAUGUGAUCAGUUGUUUCCCCUUUAUUUUCCUUAGAACGUUUAGAAUUGCCUCAUUUAAGAGUUGUUUACUCUGUAUACCAUUUGGAAGUUCUUGGUUUUUUUUUUAAUACUGUUUUAAAAAAUUAUAUAAUAUGUACUUUUGUAUGAUGUUGUACUUUAUAAAACAUGUCAAAUGUUAAAUCAACCUGAUUAAAGGGAGAUAAUUUCUUAAGAAUUGUCUCCUUAUCAGUACUAGAAUUAUUUAUUAAAUAUCUUCUUAAAAUGACUAUAAUGACCACUACUUAGAGAGGUUUUGUAUGAUGUUGUAAGACAUACAAAAGUUGUGUCAAAUACUUAGUUUUGUUUUAGUUUUAUUAUAUAUUUUAUUUUAUUUAUCAUUAUCAUUAUUUUACAUAUUGUUCAAAAUUGUAUACA